GAUGAACGCUGGCGGCGUGCCUAAUACAUGCAAGUCGAGCGAACAGACGAGGAGCUUGCUCCUCUGACGUUAGCGGCGGACGGGUGAGUAACACGUGGAUAACCUACCUAUAAGACUGGGAUAACUUCGGGAAACCGGAGCUAAUACCGGAUAAUAUAUUGAACCGCAUGGUUCAAUAGUGAAAGACGGUUUUGCUGUCACUUAUAGAGGGAUACGCGCCGCAUUAGCUAGUUGGUAAGGUAACGGCCUACCAAGGCAACGAUGCGUAGGCGACCUGAGAGGGUGAUCGGCCACACUGGAACUGAGACACGGUCCAGACUCCUACGGGAGGCAGCAGUAGGGAAUCUUCCGCAAUGGGCGAAAGCUUGACGGAGCAACGCCGCGUGAGUGAUGACGGUCUUCGGAUCGUAAAACUCUGUUAUUAGGGAAGAACAGAUGUGUAAGUAACUGUGCACGUCUUGACGGUACCUAAUCAGAAAGCCACGGCUAACUACGUG
rnacentral:rRNA from 1 species